UACAGAGGGUGCGAGCGUUAAUCGGAAUUACUGGGCGUAAAGCGUGCGUAGACGGUUAUUUAAGUCGGAUGUGAAAGCCCCGGGCUCAACCUGGGAAUUGCAUUCGAGACUGAAUAGCUAGGGUGCGGUAGAGGGAAGCGGAAUUUCCGGUGUAGCAGUGAAAUGCGUAGAGAUCGGGAGGAACAUCUGUGGCGAAGGCGGCCAUCUGGACCAGCACUGACACUGAGGCACGAAAGCGUGGGGAGCAAACAGG
rnacentral:rRNA from 1 species